ACAGAGGUGCCAAGCGUUAGGCGGAAUCACUGGGCUUAAAGCGUGUGUAGGCGGACUUGUAAGUACCUUGUGAAAUCCCACGGCUCAACCGUGGAACUGCUUGGUAUACUGCUUGUCUUGAGCCACUUAGGGGCUACCGGAACAAAUGGUGGAGCGGUGAAAUGCGUAGAUAUCAUUUGGAACGCCAAUGGUGAAAACAGGUAGCUGGGAGUGUGCUGACGCUGAGACACGAAAGCCAGGGGAGCGAACGGGA
rnacentral:rRNA from 1 species